GAUGAACGCUGGCGGUAUGCCUUACACAUGCAAGUCGAACGGAAAUUAGCUUCGGUUAAUUUUAGUGGCGGACGGGUGAGUAACACGUGAGAAUUUGCCUUUAGGAGGGGGAUAACGAGUGGAAACAUUCGCUGAAACCCCAUAUGCCCACGGGUGAAAAAGAGGAAACUCUGCCUGAAGAGAAGCUCGCGGCUGAUUAGCUAGUUGGUAGGGUAGUGGCCUACCAAGGCGACGAUCAGUAGCUGGUCUGAGAGGACGAUCAGCCACACUGGGACUGAGACACGGUCCAGACUCCUACGGGAGGCAGCAGUGAGGAAUUUUCUGCAAUGGGCGAAAGCCUGACAGAGCAAUACCGCGUGAGGGAUGAAGACUUACUGAGUUGUAAACCUCGGUGCCUUAAGGAAGAAGAUCUGACGGUACUUAAGGUGGAAAGCAUCGGCUAACUCCGUGCCAGCAGCCGCCGUAAUAC
rnacentral:rRNA from 1 species